rnacentral:rRNA from 1 species
AAAUUGAAGAGUUUGAUCAUGGCUCAGAUUGAACGCUGGCGGCAGGCCUAACACAUGCAAGUCGAACGGUAGCACAGAGAGCUUGCUCUCGGGUGACGAGUGGCGGACGGGUGAGUAAUGUCUGGGAAACUGCCUGAUGGAGGGGGAUAACUACUGGAAACGGUGGCUAAUACCGCAUAACGUCGCAAGACCAAAGAGGGGGACCUUCGGGCCUCUUGCCAUCAGAUGUGCCCAGAUGGGAUUAGCUUGUUGGUGAGGUAACGGCUCACCAAGGCGACGAUCCCUAGCUGGUCUGAGAGGAUGACCAGCCACACUGGAACUGAGACACGGUCCAGACUCCUACGGGAGGCAGCAGUGGGGAAUAUUGCACAAUGGGCGCAAGCCUGAUGCAGCCAUGCCGCGUGUAUGAAGAAGGCCUUCGGGUUGUAAAGUACUUUCAGCGGGGAGGAAGGUGUUGUGGUUAAUAACCACAGCAAUUGACGUUACCCGCAGAAGAAGCACCGGCUAACUCCGUGCCAGCAGCCGCGGUAAUACGGAGGGUGCAAGCGUUAAUCGGAAUUACUGGGCGUAAAGCGCACGCAGGCGGUCUGUCAAGUCGGAUGUGAAAUCCCCGGGCUCAACCUGGGAACUGCAUUCGAAACUGGCAGGCUUGAGUCUUGUAGAGGGGGGUAGAAUUCCAGGUGUAGCGGUGAAAUGCGUAGAGAUCUGGAGGAAUACCGGUGGCGAAGGCGGCCCCCUGGACAAAGACUGACGCUCAGGUGCGAAAGCGUGGGGAGCAAACAGGAUUAGAUACCCUGGUAGUCCACGCCGUAAACGAUGUCUACUUGGAGGUUGUGCCCUUGAGGCGUGGCUUCCGGAGCUAACGCGUUAAGUAGACCGCCUGGGGAGUACGGCCGCAAGGUUAAAACUCAAAUGAAUUGACGGGGGCCCGCACAAGCGGUGGAGCAUGUGGUUUAAUUCGAUGCAACGCGAAGAACCUUACCUGGUCUUGACAUCCACAGAACUUUCCAGAGAUGGACUGGUGCCUUCGGGAACUGUGAGACAGGUGCUGCAUGGCUGUCGUCAGCUCGUGUUGUGAAAUGUUGGGUUAAGUCCCGCAACGAGCGCAACCCUUAUCCUUUGUUGCCAGCGGUUAGGCCGGGAACUCAAAGGAGACUGCCAGUGAUAAACUGGAGGAAGGUGGGGAUGACGUCAAGUCAUCAUGGCCCUUACGACCAGGGCUACACACGUGCUACAAUGGCGCAUACAAAGAGAAGCGACCUCGCGAGAGCAAGCGGACCUCAUAAAGUGCGUCGUAGUCCGGAUUGGAGUCUGCAACUCGACUCCAUGAAGUCGGAAUCGCUAGUAAUCGUGGAUCAGAAUGCCACGGUGAAUACGUUCCCGGGCCUUGUACACACCGCCCGUCACACCAUGGGAGUGGGUUGCAAAAGAAGUAGGUAGCUUAACCUUCGGGAGGGCGCUUACCACUUUGUGAUUCAUGACUGGGGUGAAGUCGUAACAAGGUAACCGUAGGGGAACCUGCGGUUGGAUCACCUCCUUACCUUAAAGAAGC